rnacentral:miRNA from 1 species
UUUGUGCGCGUGUGACAAGGCACGGUUUGUGCACAUGCGUGUGUGCAUGUGCAUGUAUGUAUG